ACUCAAAGGAAUUGACGGGGGCCCGCACAAGCAGUGGAUUAUGUGGUUUAAUUCGAAGAUACGCGAAAAACCUUACCAGGGCUUGACAUGGAGAUGAUCGGUAUAGAGAUAUACUUUCCCCUUCGGGGGCAUCUCACACAGGUGGUGCAUGGUUGUCGUCAGCUCGUGUCGUGAGAUGUUGGGUUAAGUCCCGCAACGAGCGCAACCCCUAUUGUUAGUUGCUACGCGAGAGCACUCUAGCGAGACUGCCGUUGACAAAACGGAGGAAGGCGGGGACGACGUCAAAUCAUCAUGCCCCUUAUGUCCUGGGCUACACACGUAAUACAAUGGCGUUUAACAGAGGGAAGCAAGACCGCGAGGUGGAGCAAAUCCCUAAAAGGCGUCUCAGUUCGGAUCGUAGGCUGCAACUCGCCUACGUGAAGUCGGAAUUGCUAGUAAUCGCGGAUCAGCAAGCCGCGGUGAAUACGUUCCCGGGCCUUGUACACACCGCCCGU
rnacentral:rRNA from 1 species